rnacentral:rRNA from 1 species
GACGAACGCUGGCGGCGUGCUUAACACAUGCAAGUCGAACGGAAAGGCCCUGCUUUUGUUGGGUGCUCGAGUGGCGAACGGGUGAGUAACACGUGAGUAACCUUCCCUUUACUUUGGGAUAACUUCAGGAAACUGGGGUUAAUACCGGAUCGGCGCCCCUGCUGCAUGGUGGGGGUUGGACAGUUUCGGCGGUUGGGGAUGGGCUCGCGGCUUAUCAGCUUGUUGGUGGGGUAGUGGCUUACCAAGGCUUUGACGGGUAGCCGGCCUGAGAGGGUGACCGGCCACAUUGGGACUGAGAUACGGCCCAGACUCCUACGGGAGGCAGCAGUGGGGAAUAUUGCACAAUGGGCGGAAGCCUGAUGCAGCAACGCCGCGUGCGGGAUGACGGCCUUCGGGUUGUAAACCGCUUUCGCCUGUGACGAAGCGUGAGUGACGGUAAUGGGUAAAGAAGCACCGGCUAACUACGUG